rnacentral:rRNA from 1 species
CAGGCCUAACACAUGCAAGUCGAACGGUAGCACAGAGAACUUGUGUCUCUGGUGACAAGAGUGGGACAGGUGAGUAUUGUCUGGGAAAUUCUCUCNUGUAGGGGGAUAUAUACUGGGAACGGUGUGUAAUAUCGCAUAUAGUCUCAAGACAAAAAAGGGGGAGAUUUGGGCCUCUUUCAAUAUGGUGUGCCCAAAGGUGAUAAAUUUUUUGGGGGGGUAAAGGCUCACCUAGGCGAGAAUCUCUUUGUGUGGUGAGAGAGUGACACCCCCCCUGGGAAUUGAGACACGCGCCCCACUCUUAUGGGGGGGGGCAGUGGGGGAAUAUUUUCCCAAUGGGGGGCACACCNAUUAUACCCACACUCCGUGUAUAAGAAAGACGUCUGGUUUUAGAAUACUUUUA